rnacentral:misc_RNA from 1 species
GAUGAAGAACGCAGCGAAAUGCGAUAAGUAGUGUGAAUUGCAGAAUUCAGUGAAUCAUCGAAUCUUUGAACGCACAUUGCGCCCCUUGGUAUCCCGAGGGGCAUGCCUGUUCGAGCGUCAUUUCACCACUCAAGCCUGGCUUGGUGUUGGGCGACGUCUCCUUUGGGGACGCGCCUCGAAACGCUCGGCGGCGUGGCACCGGCUUUAAGCGUAGCAGAAUCUUUCGCUUUGGAAGUCGGGGCCCCGUCUGCCGGAAGACCUACUCGCAAGGUUGACCUCGGAUCAGGCAGGGAUACCCGCUGAACUUAAGCAUAUCAAUAAGCGGAGGA